rnacentral:lncRNA from 1 species
AUAAGAGCAUAAAGUCCUCCUCCACCCACCCAAGGAUCCUAGCAUCCUAUUUACUAUGUCCUUGACUAUCUUCAACCUGCUGUUGCCUAAUUGUGCGAGCCCACUUUUUAGCCCCUAAAAUCAAACAUGUCUGUUUUUUAAGGUCGCGGGUUGAAUCGGUCGUCUUGUGACAAAACGGUGGUUUUUUAAUCCCCCCAUGGGAGAAAACCUUGCCGGUCCCGACUCAGUUCGAUUGAAUUCGAUUGUACGUCAGUGUGCACGGGGUAUUAGAGACGACCUUUGAACUGUUAUAAAAUCUGCCGGAGAUCGCUAGCUGUGUGCUGUGCCGUGAAAAGGUCAACACCAAAUUUGAGAGUGUCACUCAAAACCCCGCUCUUAGUGGGCCAAUUCAUCAACAGAUCAAGAGUUACUAACAACAUGCUCAGUGACGUCACAGACAACGUAAAUGACGAACGAAACGAUGACGGUGGGUUUAUUAAUAUUCCUACCAAUCAAUAGGACUUGUGACGUGAGAAAAGGUACCGAACAACAGAGCAACAAAACUGAUGUGUUAGGGUAGAGAAAACUGACCUUGUUAGAACAAACGAACACUGAAGGAAUCUGGGACAAGUGAGGUUUUUUUCCCUCUUAGCACCAGCUGAAAGUACGUACACACAAACUUAUACACAAAAAGUGCACCUACGGACCCAAUCAAUUACGAGAUGUCUGUGAAGAGUUCAACGAUCUUGGCCUUGACCUUGGUGUGUGUCUGUGUGGUGCUCAGCCCGGCGUCCGCUCUGUGGGUACCAGACAUGGGGCUUACGUGUAUAUCGAGAGGAAAGGAGUACAGGCAUAAACAAGUCCUGGAGAAAUCUAGCAAAUGCAAGAUCUGUAUCUGUGUGUACGGCAGUGUGUCUUGUCGGAGUGUUUGCUGACACCGUCACUUGAUGGAACAUUUGGCGCACUGUCACGUGACGAAACAUUCAACUCGGGGUCACGUGAUAGGACAUUCGACACACGAUUACGUGAUGGAAUAUAUAGCACACUGUCUAGUGGCAAACAUUCGACGACUGGUCACGGGAUGGGACAUUUGACGCACGUUCACGGGAUGGGACAUUUGACAGACUCUCAAGUGAUGGGACAUUUGGCAGACCAUCAUGUGAUGGAACAUUUGACAGACUAUCUUGUGAUGGGACAUUUGACGCACGUUCACGGUAUGGGACAUUUGACAGACUCUCAAGUGAUGGGACAUUUGGCAGACCAUCAUGUGAUGGAACAUUUGACAGACUAUCAUGGGAUGGAGCAUUUGUCGCACGUUCACGGGAAGGGACAUUUGACACAGUCCCGCAACUCUUGACACACCUGUUGGCACCACGAGAUUGAACGUCCUGGAGAAUCACGUGAACGCAUUUAGUCACAGUCCGUUGAUUGGACAUCCACUGGAGCCACGUGACUUGACAACGACAACGACGACGACAGCAAUAAAUGCAGCUGCUACAUCGGCAACAACAACAGCAACAACAGCAACAGCAACAGCAACAAUAACAAUAACAACAACAACAACAACAACAACAACGUCGGUAACAAAAAACACACACAACAAAAACAACAACAACAACAGCAACGACGGCGAUAACGAUAACAAAAGAAAUGGUAACUGCAGCUACACUACCACCACGAUCACCACCACUGCCAUCACCACCACCACCACCUCCAACAACAACAAAACAACAAUAACAACAACAACAGCUAGAACAACAAUAGCAAUAACAACAACGACGACAACGACAACAAUAAUAACUGCGACCACCACUAACAAUAACAGCAACAAAUUCACCACCAACAAGUAUCCUCUAACAUUUGUACACUUAAGAAAAUAAACUCAAGUCACAAUUUUCUUCAAAUAUCUUU